rnacentral:rRNA from 1 species
GAUGAACGCUGGCGGCGUGCCUAAUACAUGCAAGUCGAGCGAACAGACGAGGAGCUUGCUCCUCUGACGUUAGCGGCGGACGGGUGAGUAACACGUGGAUAACCUACCUAUAAGACUGGGGUAACUUCGGGAAACCGGAGCUAAUACCGGAUAAUAUAUUGAACCGCAUGGUUCAAUAGUGAAAGACGGUUUUGCUGUCACUUAUAGAUGGAUCCGCGCCGCAUUAGCUAGUUGGUAAGGUAACGGCUUACCAAGGCAACGAUGCGUAGCCGACCUGAGAGGGUGAUCGGCCACACUGGAACUGAGACACGGUCCAGACUCCUACGGGAGGCAGCAGUAGGGAAUCUUCCGCAAUGGGCGAAAGCCUGACGGAGCAACGCCGCGUGAGUGAUGAAGGUCUUCGGAUCGUAAAACUCUGUUAUUAGGGAAGAACAAAUGUGUAAGUAACUAUGCACGUCUUGACGGUACCUAAUCAGAAAGCCACGGCUAACUACGUGC